UAGAAGGUGGGAGGGGCCGUGUGUGUUGCAUUCGGGAAGCCAACGUGGCACUCAGUGUUUGCGCGACGCAGAGCGGCAGAGCAGAGAAACGCAUCAAAUACAAAAUUUCACUGUCAAAGUGAACGUUAUCUGCUUAUCUUACAAUCAAUCAAAGGUUCCAAACUUGGGACUUGGAAGCCGAAUCGAUCUGCGCGACGUUCGUGGUUCAUUCCUACAUCAAUCUCAAGGAUAUGGAACUCGGUGAUAUAGACCUGCUAACGGAGGCAAUGAAACUUGAGUCUGAGGUAUUAGCUACUAUCAAGCUUAACCCUGCACAUCUUUCUGGUGGGCUUGAUAAGCUGCUUAAGGAUGCUUAUACUAUACGAUGCCCGAAACCUAUUGAUUAUUUCAACAGGAAGGAUUUAAUUCGUAUCUUCAAUAUUAUAGCAAAGGAAGUAUAUGGCAAUGGCAGUACCUCCCCAGUUGUGGAAGAAUAUGGCUCUUAUGUUAUGGAUAUGUUCUGUGGUGGAAGUGAUCUGGAUUUGUCUAUAAAUUUCAGAAACAAUUCAAAUGAAGUUCCUCGGCAGAAGAAAAUUGAAACCCUUCGAAAGUUUGCUAAGAAGUUCCAUAAAUUUCAAAGAAAAGGAAUUGUUAGAGGUGUACAGGCCAUUCUGAAUGCUAGGGUGCCAAUUGUAAAAGUUAUUGAUUGUGGUACUGGCAUUGAAUGCGAUUUAUCAGUAGAAAACAGGGAUGGCAUUGAGAAAUCUCAUAUUAUUCAUGCAAUUUCUCUUAUAGAUGAAAGAUUUCAGAAGUUAAGUUUUCUGAUGAAAUGCUGGGCAAAAGCACAUAACAUCAACAGUUCCAAAGACCAUACUCUGAACUCUUUAUCUAUUGUCUCUUUAGUUGCUCUUCAUUUGCAGACUCGCAAUCCUCCUAUAUUGCCUCCAUUCUCUGCUUUGCUUAAGGAUGGAUCUGAUCCAGCAGCAGUGAAGAAGGUUGUUAACGAUUAUAUGUCCUUUGGGCAAAAAAACGUAGAGUCGUUGGCUGAGCUUUUUUUAACUCUUUUUGUCAAGCUAGCGUCAGUUGAAAAGCUUUGGGAGAAAGGCCUGUGUGCAAGCUUGCAUCAAGGAUCAUGGAUUCGUAAAUCAUGGGGUUCUCGUACUUACUCAAUAAGUGUUGAGGAUUUUACAGAUCGGUCUCAAAAUGUUGCAAGAGCAGUUGGAACUGAAGAGGUAAAAACAAUCUACAGAUGCAUUCGUGAAUCUCUCAACUACUUUUCAGAUUAUCUGAACGGAAGGAUGUUGGGAACUAAGUUGAUUGAUCUUUUGUUUGGAGGAGAUACUCCUUCCACCACUGGCCUUGUCGGUGCUGGGAACAUAGACAACAAUACGAAGAAUCUUCCUAUUUCAGAAAAUCAGCGUCCACCAAAAAGGCAGAGAUUCGUGGAAGAUUUAGAAAGAAAGCAGAUUCAGAAACCUAGUGAGGGAAACUAUCUUCCCCAUGGUAAUCAAAGAGCAGAGCCAUGGAAAGGUUCUGUACUAGCCCAUCAGGUAGAUGUCCUUCAGGGUGGGACCUUCCAACCUCCUCCUGUUUCGAGUUCCUAUAAUAAUUUGCCUCAUGGUUACGGUCUAGGGACAGCUCCUUCUGCUUCUGCCCAAAAUCUACUAGGUUUUGGAGGUUCUUUUAACUCCCCGCUACUAUCAAAUCUUGUUCCCCUUCUGAAUUCCAUGGGUUGUCUGGGGGCAUUUCAUCAACAACAUGUCCAUCCAAAUCAAUCUCUUGUACCCAUUCAUUCGCACAGUCCUUUUGUGAGUAAUAAUCUAUAUCAAGGAGAACCAUCCAGUUCACAUGCACAGAAGUGAUAAAUUUCCUUUUCUGCCCCUCUCUCGUUGUCUCUUGUAUGUACAUUGAUUGUUACCUCUCUUGGUAAGACUACAGUCACUAGAAUUCACAAGUAAACCACCAAUCCUCAAGCCCCUUCUUGCUUGACUAACAAAAGGCAGUAUUACGAAGAGAUGAAGAUGUUGACUAGCAUCUAAAUGUUGGAAUCUGAAGUUGCAGAAAUGCUUUUAUGACGCAACCAAUUGUUUAUAAGAUUCUCACAGGUCACUUCCUGACGCUGGGCAGAGAUGAUUGAUGCUGACUCACCUUUCUUAGCUGAGCUUCUUGGGUUAGCAGAGCCUGCUUCCCUCUUCUUGCAGAUGCCAAAUCUGGACGGCUCAAUUUUUUUUUCAUUUUAUAUUUUUUAAAAUUUUUAUGAAUUAUAAAUUUUUUUAAUAAUUUACCUAUUUAUAUAAUUCAUGUUUAAUAUGAAUGGCCACAUUUAAUUUAUAAAAAUUAUAAAAAAAUUUAAUAUUAAACUUGCAAUGUCCAAAAUAUAUU